GCUAAGACUAGAAUCAAAUCUUGACAUAGCACUUGUCCUUUUGUACUAGAGUCCUCAGACAAAAUCGGCUGGCCUUGAUUCACUGGUAGGGGCAAUCACAAGUCAUAAAUUGCCCAGGUCAAAAACAUGA
ensembl:snoRNA